rnacentral:tRNA from 1 species
GAGGGUAUAGCUCAGUGGUAGAGUGCCUGCCUAGCACACACAAGGUCCUGGGUUCAACCCCUAGUACCUCCA